rnacentral:rRNA from 1 species
UACGAAGGGGGCUAGCGUUGUUCGGAUUUACUGGGCGUAAAGCGCACGUAGGCGGAUUGGUCAGUUAGGGGGGAAAUCCUGGAGCUCAACUCCAGAACUGCCUUUAAUACUGCCAGUCUCGAGUCCGGAAGAGGUAAGUGGAACUCCUAGUGUAGAGGUGGAAUUCGUAGAUAUUAGGAAGAACACCAGUGGCGAAGGCGGCUUACUGGUCCGGUACUGACGCUGAGGUGCGAAAGCGUGGGGAGCAAACAGG